rnacentral:lncRNA from 1 species
UGUCUCAAAAAAAAAAAAAAAAAAAAAAAAAAGAACGAGGUAAAACUAUUGUUCUUUGUAGAUGAUAUGAUUGUAUACCAAAGAAAAGCUACUGCAAACAAUAAGAGAAUAGAGUAAGUUUAAUAGAGCACCAAAAAAAAAAAAAAAAAGAUAGCAUUCAAAUUUACACACCAUAAAACCUCAUUUACAAUAGCCAUAAACAACAAACAGAAAACCAAACAAACCUUGGAAUAUUUUUAACAAAAAUAUGCAAGACCUAUAUGAAGGAAACUUUAAAAUACAUCUGGGGACAAAUGAAAAGACUUACCACAUUACUGGAUAGGAUGACAUCGUGAGGAUGUCAAUUCUCACUCAACAGUAUAUAUAUUGAAUGCAACCUAUAUAAAAAUACUAACAGCUUUUGUAAAAAUUGAAACUAGUCAAGAUGAUCCUAAAGUUCCACAAUAGAAAAAAAAAAUCAAAGAACAGCCUGAAAAACUUUGGAAAAGAAGAGCAAUGAGGGUGGACUAGCACUACUAGGACCUAAAACAUUCCAAAUGAAUAAAAAUUGUAAUGUUAACAUUUAAAACUUAAAACUAUUCAUGAGUGUGGGGGGAAGGUAGGGUGCAACCUGAGGCAAAAAAAAAAAAAAAAAAAAAAAACCAAACAAAAAACCAGAUUCCUUCAUGAUCCUGCAGUGGCAAAGACCUUUCUUUUUUUUUUUUUUUUUUUUUUUUUUGAGAUGGAGUCUCGCUCUGUCACCAGGCUGGAGUGCAAUGGCAUGAUCUCGGCUCACUGCAACCUCUGCCUCCCGAGUGCAAGUGAUUCUCCUGCCUCAGCCUCCCAAGUAGCUGGGAUUGCAGGUGCGCGCCACCAUGCUCAGCUAAUUUUUGUAUUUUUAGGAGAGAUGAGUUUCACCAUGUUGGCCAGGAUGGUCUCGAUCUCUUGACCUUGCGAUCCGCCCACCUCGGGCUCCCAAAGUGCUGGCAUUACAGGAGUGAGCCACACCCGGCCCCAUGACUCAAAGUCUAGAAACCGCAAAAGAAAUAAACUGAAUAUACACAGCUACAUUAAAAAUUUUUUUCUCUUUUUUUUUUUUUGAGACGGAGUCUGGCUGUGUCGCCCAGGCUGGAGUGCAGUGGCUCAAUCUAGGCUUACUGCAAGCUCCGCCUCCCGGGUUCAC